CCGCCUCAGGGGUGCGCGCCUGGGGCCGGGGCCGGGUCUGGGACCCUCAGCGCGGGCCUGAUCCGGAGCUGGGAGCGGUGUCCCGGGCCUGUCCCGCGCCUGCGGCGGGGCCCGCGCGGCCGGAGGGUGCCGGGCCUGUCCGGUGCCGAGGAUGUUCCCGCAGAACAGGCCCCCGGCCCAUCUCCAGGCACCCUCUGCUGCCUCAGGAGCCGCUGUUGCUGCCAGUGCCAUCCCCAGCACCCCCCAGUCCCUCAAGCUGACUUACCCAGAGACCUUGGAUCGCAUCAAGGAGGAAUUCCAGUUCCUGCAGAACCAAUACCACAGCUUGAAGUUAGAAUGUGAAAAGCUGGCAACAGAAAAAACAGAAAUCCAGCGUCAUUAUGUCAUGUACUACGAGAUGUCCUAUGGCCUCAACAUCGAGAUGCACAAACAGACGGAGAUCGCCAAGCGGCUCAACGUGAUCUGCGCCCAGCUCAUCCCGUUCCUGUCUCAGGAGCACCAGCAGCAGGUGGUGCAGGCUGUGGAGCGAGCGAAGCAGGUGACUAUGACCGACCUGAACGCGGCCAUCGGGCACCAGCUGCAGACCCAGCACCUCUCCCACCACGCUCCCCCCAUCCCGCUGACCCCACACCCCUCUGGGAUGCAGCCUGCUGGCCUGGCUGGCAUCAGCAGUGCCUCGGGGCUGCUGGCACUCUCGGGGGCACUGGGGGCCCAGGCCCAGCUCCUCGCCAAGGAUGACAGAGGAGUCCAUGACACAGAGCCCAGGGCGUCAGACCGAGACCCCGGCCCCAGCUCCCUGGCGCUGUCGAACGGGGAGCGCGCGCGAGCCAUCGCCGAGUACCUGAGCAGCAGCAGCAAGAAGAGGAAAGUGGAGGAGAAGGAUUUUGUUACAGAUUAUGGCAGCGAUGCUGACAAAAGUGAGGACAACCUGGUGGUGGAUGAGGACCCCUCUUCCCCGCACAGCGUGCACUCCUACUCGUCCCGGGAGAACGGGGUGGAGAAGGCCCCGCUGGGCAGGAAGGAGGCCGUGCCCCUCAGCCCCACCUCCAUGGCCUCCUCCAGCAGCACGUCCCCAUCUCGGAGCAAGGAGGCACCCACGGUGGAGAAGGCAGGAACCCCCAGCCUGAAGUCCAGCACGCCAACCUCUCAGGGUGACACCCUGCCAGGCUCCAGCAGUGCCCAGUUUCGCCCCACGGCUGCCAAAGUCCCCGUGGACCCUCUGGCAGCCCUGGGCCUGAGGAAUCCUCUGGGAGUGCAGAGCCCCUACUCUGCUGCCUUUGGCUUGGCCCACCCUGCUGUCAACGGGGACGUGGCCGGGAGCGGCGCCUACGCCAGCCUGCACCUCAUGUCCCCGCAGCUCAACGGCACCGCGGCCGCCGGGGGCUACGGGCGCUCGCCCCUGGUGGGCUACGACCCGCACCCCCACAUGCGCGUCCCGGGGCUGGUGGCCGGAAUGCAAGUGGGGAGCUCGGGCAAGCCUGCCUACUCCUUCCACGUCAGUGCAGACGGGCAGAUGCAGCCGGUGCCUUUCCCCCCCGACGCCCUGCUGGGCUCCGGCAUCCCCCGGCACGCGCGGCAGCUGCACACGCUGAGCCACGGCGAGGUGGUCUGUGCUGUCACCAUCAGCAACUCCACCAGACACGUCUACACCGGGGGCAAGGGCUGCGUCAAGGUCUGGGACGUGGGGCAGCCGGGCACCAAGACGGCCGUGGCUCAGCUCGACUGCCUGAACCGUGACAACUACAUCCGCUCCUGCAAGCUGCUCCCCGACGGGCGCAGCCUGAUCGUGGGGGGGGAGGCCAGCACCCUGUCCAUCUGGGACCUGGCAGCCCCCACGCCCCGCAUCAAGGCUGAGCUCACCUCCUCUGCCCCCGCCUGCUACGCCCUGGCCAUCAGCCCUGACGCCAAAGUCUGCUUCUCCUGCUGCAGCGACGGCAACAUCGUGGUGUGGGACCUGCAGAACCAGACCCUGGUCAGUUUCAAGGCCACACAGACGGUGCCAGCUGCAUUGACAUCUCCAACGAUGGCACCAAGCUGUGGACAGGGGGGCUGGACAACACCGUGCGCUGCUGGGACCUGCGGGAGGGCCGGCAGCUGCAGCAGCACGACUUCAGCUCCCAGAUCUUCUCCCUGGGCUACUGCCCCAUGGGAGAGUGGCUGGCCGUGGGCAUGGAGAGCAGCAACGUGGAGAUCCUGCACGUCACCAAACCCGACAAGUACCAGCUGCACCUCCACGAGAGCUGUGUCCUCUCUCUCAAAUUCGCCUCCUGUGGGAAGUGGUUUGUGAGCACGGGCAAGGACAACCUGCUCAACGCCUGGAGGACGCCCUACGGCGCCAGCAUCUUCCAGUCCAAGGAAACCUCCUCAGUCCUCAGCUGUGACAUCUCCACGGACGACCAGUUCAUCGUGACGGGCUCAGGGGACAAGAAAGCCACAGUUUAUGAGAUCAUUUACUGAGCCCCAGAGGUGCCAACUGCAGGACAGGCAGCUGUCCAUGGGGAUGGACAGGUGGACUCUACCUGCCCUGCUGCUGACUUCCCAAAGAACGUGCAGCCAUGGCUGUGGCAUCCCAGCUGGAGGAGAGAGGAGAGGGGUGGAGGUGGCCCUGGCACCGUGGCCAGGCAUGGUGCAGGCUGCUGCUCGGGGUGGAUUUCCUGGGGACUUUCUCCUUGUCUUGUUCUUUGUGGGUUUCUUUCUAAAUCUAGACUGUGGGAGUUGGAGAUGAGGGGGGGAGGUCUGGCAUUGUUAGGGAGUUUUGUUUGGGUGCUUUUUUUUUUUAUUUUUGGUUUUUAAACUUUUUGUUGUGGGGUUUUUAUUUGUUUAAGGCUCUGGGCUUGCCAGGGUGGAUGGGCUCUGGGUUUCCUUCCCUCUGUGCCUCCCAGGGUGUAUUUAAUAAUAAAAACAAACAAACAAAAAAAAA